rnacentral:rRNA from 1 species
UUGCCUACGGGUGGCUGCAGUCGAGAAUUUUUGGCAAUGGGGGAAACCCUGACCAAGCGAUGCCGCGUGCGGGAUGAAGGUCUUCGGAUUGUAAACCGCUGUCAGUGGGGAGAAAAGGAUAGUGAGUUCUCUCAUUAUUUUGAUCUAUCCGCAGAGGAAGUGUGGGCUAAGCUCGUGCCAGCAGCCGCGGUAAGACGAGCCACACAAACGUUAUUCGGAAUUACUGGGCUUAAAGGGUGCGUAGGCUGCGCGGAAAUUUGGGUGUGAAAUACCUCGGCUCAACCGAGGAACUGCGCCCAAAACUACCGUGCUCGAGGAAGAUAGAGGUGAGCGGAACUUACGGUGGAGCGGUGAAAUGCGUUGAUAUCGUAAGGAACACCCGUGGCGAAAGCGGCUCACUGGGUCUUUUCUGACGCUGAUGCACGAAAGCUAGGGGAGCAAACGGGAUUAGAUACCCUGGUAGUC